AACGAACGCUGGCGGCAUGCCUAACACAUGCAAGUCGAACGAGACCUUCGGAUCUAGUUGCGCACGGGUGCGUAACGCGUGGGAACCUGCCCUUAGGUUCGGAAUAACUCCCCGAAAGGGGUGCUAAUACCGGCUAAUGUCUUCGGACCAAAGAUUUAUCGCCUUUGUAUGGGCCCGCGUUGGAUUAGCUAGGUGGUAGGGUAAAAGCCUAUCAAGGCGACGAUCCAUAGCUGGUCUGAGAGGAUGAUCAGCCACACUGGGACUGAGACACGGCCCAGACUCUUACGGGAGGCAGCAGUGGCGAAUAUUGGACAAUGGGCGAAAGGAUGAUCCAGCUAUGCCGCGUGAGUGAUGAAGGCCUUAGAGUUGUAAAGCUCUUUUACCCGGGAUGAUAAUGACAGUACCGGAAGAAUAAGCUCCGGCUAACUCCGUG
rnacentral:rRNA from 1 species